ACUGAACGCCGGCGGCAGGCUUAACACAUGCAAGUCGAGCGGAGCGAGGGUGCUUGCACCUUAGCUUAGCGGCGGACGGGUGAGUAAUGCCUAGGCAUCUGCCUAUUAGUGGGGGACAACAUUCCGAAAGGAAUGCUAAUACCGCAUACGCCCUACGGGGGAAUGCAGGGGAUCUUCGGACCUUGCGCUCAUAGAUGAGCCUAAGUCGGAUUAGCUAGUUGGUGGGGUAAAGGCCUACCAAGGCGACGAUGUGUAGCGGGUCUGAGAGGAUGAGCCGCCACACUGGGACUGAGGCACGGCCCAGACUCCUACGGGAGGCAGCAGUGGGGAAUAUUGGACAAUGGGGGGAACCCUGAUCCAGCCAUGCCGCGUGUGUGAAGAAGGCCUUAUGGUUGUAAAGCACUUUAAGCGAGGAGGAGGCUACUGAGACUAAUACUCUUGGAUAGUGGACGUUACUCGCAGAAUAAGCACCGGCUAACUCCGUGCCAGCAGCCGCCGUAAAAC
rnacentral:rRNA from 1 species